CCCUUAGAUGUUCUGGGCCGCACGCGCGCUACACUGACGAAGUCGGCGAGCAUGUCCUACGCCGACAGGUGCGGGGAAUCUUGUCAAACUUCGUCGUGAUGGGGAUUGAUUAUUGAAAUUCUUGAUCAUCAACGAGGAAUUCCUAGUAAGCGCAAGUCAGCAGCUUGCGUUGAUUACGUCCCUGCCCUUUGUACACACCGCCCGUCGCUACUACCGAUUGAAUGGUUUAGUGAGAUCUUCGGAUUGGCGCCACUGCGGCUCAGCAAUGGGCUCGGUGGAUGCCGAAAAGUUGAUCAAACUUGAUCAUUUAGAGGAAGUAAAAGUCGUAACA
rnacentral:rRNA from 1 species